GCAUGGUGGGAGGCCAGAGAAGGCACAAACCAGUCAAGCUGGGGAGGUGUGCCCUCAAAUGUUGAUGGGUGUGAAUGCAGCCUGACUGAUACUUGCAAGGACCGAAACAACGUGUGUAACUGUGACUCGAAUCGUAAUGAGUGGAACACAGAUGGUGGACUUCUGACAGACAAGACGUUGCUCCCUGUGAUGCGAUUGAGGUUCGGCGACACUGGCAAGGGUGCAGAGAAGGGAAUUCACUACCUUGGUCCUCUUAUGUGCUUUGAUGAUGGUGACAGUGUUGCAUUUACGGCUCCACCACUAUGUCGUGAACAAAGUAAUCUGGAUUUAGCCGAUAAUUCCAAAGCAAAAAGUAAGUUGCUUCCAAUCGAUGACUGUAUGAUCUAACAUUUAUUACUUGUUCGUGAGUUUUCGUUCUUAUGUUUGGCUAUAUGAUUAAUCCUUAUGUUGACUUAUUUUGUGCACUAUUAUUAUAUUUAGUUUUGAACUUCAG